rnacentral:rRNA from 1 species
UACAGAGGUCUCAAGCGUUGUUCGGAUUCAUUGGGCGUAAAGGGUGCGUAGGCGGUGGGGCAAGUCAGGUGUGAAAUCCCGGAGCUCAACUCCGGAACUGCACUUGAUACUGCUUUACUAGAGUACUGGAGAGGAGACUGGAGUUUACGGUGUAGCAGUGAAAUGCGUAGAUAUCGUAAGGAAGACCAGUGGCGAAGGCGAGUCUCUGGACAGUUACUGACGCUGAGGCACGAAGGCCAGGGGAGCAAACGGG